GGAAGUUUUGGACCCGUUGAAUUGCCGUAGCCGCUCCGACUUCUGAAAAGAGACACACAAGGACGGCCGAGCUGGCGUCACGUGGUCGGGUUUUGUGCCGGGGGCUUAAGGGAUCUUCCAGAAGAACCUAGCAGAGCUCCUGCUUGGUGAAGAAGUUAUCUUGGUGAAAACUGCUGCUAGCUACAAACCUAUCAAAAGCAUCAUCUGAAGUAAUCUCAUUGUUGCCAUGAGAAUACGAGCACUGUUACCACACUUAAACACUGGCAGAGGCCCAUGAACUUUAAGAAGAGUACCCAGGGGCAUUGGAAGAGCAUCACAACAUUUUUUUAGGUGCUGGCGCCCAGCUGAAAACAAAGACAAACUUGCCAUAGAAUCAAAUUAUUCUUAAAUUCUCUCUCUUGUAGCUUUAUGUUCUUCCUCCUCAAAUUUUUCAGAUGGAGGCUUCUUACUCUAAACCAGGGGUCUUCAACCUUGGCAACUUUAAGACUUGUGGACUUCAACUCCCAGAAUUCCUCAGCCAGCAAAGCUGGGAAUUGAAGUCCACAAGUCUUAAAGUUGCUGGGAGUUGAAGUCCACAAGUCCACAAGCUGGGAGUUGAAGUCCACAAGUCUUAAAGUUGCCAAGGUUGGAGACCCCUGCUCUAAACAUGGGACUCUUUUUUCCAGUAGAGUGAUGUUUCAAAAGAAGACAGUUUUGUAACCCCAAAACCCAAUACAUUCUGAAAAUUAUUAUACCAUGUUUGUUGUAGGGGGUCGAACGAGUCAUAAGUCACAAAUCCCUGUGUGCCUGCAAGAGAUCUAAAUCCACCCACCUCUCAUUUCCCUUGAGCGUUAGUAGCUCAGAUUUUUGUAGAUAGCUUAAGCUUCCAAUAAAUCUUUAUGCUGAUUUGAACUGCCUGAACCUCCUGAUUUCCCUGGUGGCUUGACAUGUUUUUGUAAUGAAUUGUGACUUAAAGCAAUUAAGAAAAAUGAGCAGAUAUGUAGUGAUGAACAACUUGGCACUGCAGCACUAUCCCCAAACCUGUUUUUUAAAAUUUUUGUAGACAUUCAGCUUGUCAUGUUAAUUGUUUCUGGACAACCAUUUGUUGUGUGGCACAUUAAAGAGCUUAAAAAUGAAUACCCUUCUGUGGGUGCAGAGAAUUUUCAGAAGUGGGAUAUUUCGUUUCAAUGCUUGCAGCUUAUUUCUCAUUCAUUCAAUAAGAGUAGAAAAACAUCCUGAAAUUGUACUAACAAAUUUGGUAGCAAAAUGGCUAAUUUUCUACAAUAUAAUCCCUCUCCCCCCCCCAUUUGGGGUUUGUUCUUGAGGGGUGGGUGGAUGGUGGGGGUGGGGGUGGAAUGUUUUAAGGCUGAAUGAGAGCACAGUGCUUCCAUGAAGCAAAAUACUCCUACCAAAACCCUAAAUUAACAAGCUUUCAAAAUUGUGUCCUGGGAUCAAUUAAGACAUAUUUUUAUUUGUGUUCUUUGCUUAUGGGAUAAUAACUUGUUGAAUAUUUUUUGAAGACACUAUUUCUGAUAACUGAAAGAAUGCCACUAUUCUCUUAUCCAAAGGAAAUGCAGCAAGAGAGAAGCAGAAAAAAGAUGACUUUGUUAAUUGGGUCUUUGUUAAGGAGGUGUUUCACACACUUGUAAUUAAAAGAUUACUAUUCAGGA